CUGAUAGUAUCGAACGACAUGCUGAUGCUGCAACCUCGAAAGAGUAGCUACUUCCCUGCAAACCAUUCCAUGUAAGUCCAAAGGAAUUCAAGUCAAAAUUAGACAACAAAAAUGACAAAGAUCAAAAGGAUAUAAUGACAAGAUGCUCCCGUAAACAAUCCUGAAUGAAAAAGAAAACAGGAUUGCAAUUUGGCAUAAACAUAAGGAAUGUAUAGCUCCUGGAGUCCAAAAACCCCUUCUACCUUGACAGAUCUCCAGAACCAUUUCAUUUCAGCCAAUUUGGUAAUCAAAUUUUCAGACCAAGAACUAGUAGUCUACUCAAUCAUCACUCAUGAAUGCAGAAUCCAUAAAAGAACAGCCAUAAGAAACAAAGAAGAAGAAGAGCACCCAAGCAUUACAGAGCUUCAGAAACUACUAUAUUGAAUGAAUUACAACAAAAAAAGAAUUUAGACUUUAAAUACAUGUCUAUCACUACUGAC
rnacentral:lncRNA from 1 species